rnacentral:lncRNA from 1 species
GUGGGGUGCUGAUCACAGUGUGGGUGUACUUAAUUCACAGAGGUGUCGUCACGGAUCCUCCAGCUGUCUGUGACAUAGAGGAUGCCCCCCCCGGGGGGGCAAUUCUGGAAAUCUAAAGUGGCCGUCACCCUGCUGGCAUGGCACCGUUCUGACCUUUGAGUUCACAUCAAGCUUAUAUUCCAUCCCGCCAUCCAAGGUCUCCUCGCUGGGUUCAUCUUUUAAAAUGUAAAAAUUUGAGGUCCAAUUUACAUAGUAUAGAACGUACCACUUUAAACUGUGCAAGUGAACUCGUGUCAAGACCUUUCACCGGGGUAAUUGUUACUCUAAUCGGAAUGUGGAACCUUACUCUCAGCCCAGAGUACCCUCUUGCCCCUUUCCGGGCAGCCUCCACCCCCAGGAGCACUCUGUACACUGACUUCUAACCACGUAAUGGAAUGGAAUCUGAAAAAUGGAGCAGAUGGACCUCUGCAGUUGGGAGCACAGUGGUGGCCUGAUGCAACGUCACCGUGUCUAUGUCAUUCCCCUCACUCUGAGGUCUCAUCAUGGAGCCACUGCCUCACCUCACAGCGUCAGGAGAAGAAGGGUAACCUGGCAUCAUGCGGUGUGUUCCAAUAGAGUCUCCCUGGACACACAGGUUGCAGAAAUGAGUGUCUGGCUAGAGAGCAAGGGUAAGCAUCCUCC